CUGGACAGUGACUGACGCUGAGGCGCGAAAGCUAGGGGAGCAAACGGGAUUAGAUACCCCGGUAGUCCUAGCUGUAAACGAUGGGCACUUGGUGUUGGGGGUAUUGAGUCCCCCGGUGCCGGAGUUAACACGUUAAGUGCCCCGCCUGGGGAGUACGGUCGCAAGACUGAAACUCAAAGGAAUUGACGGGGGCCCGCACAAGCGGUGGAGCAUGUGGUUCAAUUCGACGCAACGCGAAGAACCUUACCGGGGCUCGAACGGUAACUGCUACCCUUGGAAACAGGGGGUUCUCUUCGGAGACGGUUACCGAGGUGCUGCAUGGCUGUCGUCAGCUCGUGUCGUGAGAUGUUGGGUUAAGUCCCGCAACGAGCGCAACCCUUGCCCUUAGUUGCUAACAGGUUAAGCUGAGCACCCUAAGGGUACUGUCGGCGAAAAGCCGGAGGAAGGUGGGGAUGACGUCAAGUCCUCAUGGCCCUUACGUCCCGGGCUACACACGUGCUACAAUGGUCGGUACAAAGGGUCGCCAACCCGCGAGGGGGAGCUAAUCCCAGAAAGCCGAUCUCAGUUCGGAUUGCAGUCUGCAACUCGACUGCAUGAAGGUGGAAUCGCUAGUAAUCGCAGAUCAGAACGCUGCGGUGAAUACGUUCCCGGGCCUUGUACACACCGCCCGUCACAUCACGAAAGUGGGUUGUACUAGAAAUCGCUGAGCUAACCCGCAAGGGGGGCAGGCGCUUAAGGUAUGAUCCAUGAUU
rnacentral:rRNA from 1 species